AACGAACGCUGGCGGCAUGCCUAACACAUGCAAGUCGAACGAGACCUUCGGGUCUAGUGGCGCACGGGUGCGUAACGCGUGGGAAUCUGCCCUUGGGCUCGGAAUAACAGUUGGAAACGACUGCUGAUACCGGAUGAUGACGUAAGUCCAAAGAUUUAUCGCCCAAGGAUGAGCCCGCGUAGGAUUAGCUAGUUGGUGAGGUAAAGGCUCACCAAGGCGACGAUCCUUAGCUGGUCUGAGAGGAUGAUCAGCCACACUGGGACUGAGACACGGCCCAGACUCCUACGGGAGGCAGCAGUGGGGAAUAUUGGACAAUGGGCGAAAGCCUGAUCCAGCAAUGCCGCGUGAGUGAUGAAGGCCUUAGGGUUGUAAAGCUCUUUUACCCGGGAUGAUAAUGACAGUACCGGGAGAAUAAGCUCCGGCUAACUCCGUG
rnacentral:rRNA from 1 species